UAGGGAAUCUUCCACAAUGGACGCAAGUCUGAUGGAGCAACGCCGCGUGAGUGAAGAAGGUCUUCGGAUCGUAAAACUCUGUUGUUAGAGAAGAACACGAGUGAGAGUAACUGUUCAUUCGAUGACGGUAUCUAACCAGCAAGUCACGGCUAACUACGUGCCAGCAGCCGCGGUAAUACGUAGGUGGCAAGCGUUGUCCGGAUUUAUUGGGCGUAAAGGGAACGCAGGCGGUCUUUUAAGUCUGAUGUGAAAGCCUUCGGCUUAACCGGAGAAGUGCAUCGGAAACUGGAUAACUUGAGUGCAGAAGAGGGUAGUGGAACUCCAUGUGUAGCGGUGGAAUGCGUAGAUAUAUGGAAGAACACCAGUGGCGAAGGCGGCUACCUGGUCUGCAACUGACGCUGAGACUCGAAAGCAUGGGUAGCGAACAGGAUUAGAUACCCUGGUAGUCCAUGCCGUAAACGAUGAGUGCUAGGUGUUGGAGGGUUUCCGCCCUUCAGUGCCGGAGCUAACGCAUUAAGCACUCCGCCUGGGGAGUAUGACCGCAAGGUUG
rnacentral:rRNA from 1 species